UUUACAUCACUUGGCUCAUAGCCU
rnacentral:siRNA from 1 species